CGGAGCGUAGCGCAGCCUGGUAGCGUACUUGCAUGGGGUGCAAGGGGUCGUGAGUUCAAAUCUCACCGUUCCGACCA
rnacentral:tRNA from 1 species